rnacentral:rRNA from 1 species
CAUAUCAAUAAGCGGAGGAAAAGAAACUAACAAGGAUUCCCCUAGUAACUGCGAGUGAAGCGGGAAAAGCUCAAAUUUAAAAUCUGGCAGUCUUUGGCUGUCCGAGUUGUAAUCUGGAGAAGUGUUUUCCGCGCUGGACCGUGUACAAGUCUCUUGGAAUAGAGCGUCAUAGAGGGUGAGAAUCCCGUCUUUGACACGGACUACCAGUGCUUUGUGAUGCGCUUUCAAAGAGUCGAGUUGUUUGGGAAUGCAGCUCAAAAUGGGUGGUAAAUUCCAUCUAAAGCUAAAUAUUGGCGAGAGACCGAUAGCGAACAAGUACCGUGAGGGAAAGAUGAAAAGCACUUUGGAAAGAGAGUUAAACAGUACGUGAAAUUGCUGAAAGGGAAACGCUUGAAGUCAGUCGCGUUGUUCAGAACUCAGCCUGGCUUUGGCUUGGUGCAUUUUCUGAAUAACGGGCCAGCAUCAAUUUUGACUGUUGGAUAAAGGCCAGGGAAAUGUGGCUCCCUUGGGAGUGUUAUAGUCCUUGGUUGCAUACAAUGGUUGGGAUUGAGGAACUCAGCAUGCCUUUAUGGUCGGGGUUCGCCCACGUUCAUGCUUAGGAUGCUGGCGUAAUGGCUUUAAACGACCCGUCUUGAAACACGGACCAAGGAGUCUAACAUGCCUGCGAGUGUUUGGGUGGAAAACCCGAGCGCGCAAUGAAAGUGAAAGUUGGGAUCUCUGUCGUGGAGAGCACCAAUGCCCGGACCAGACCUUCUGUGACGGCUCCGCGGUAGAGCAUGUAUGUUGGGACCCGAAAGAUGGUGAACUAUGCCUGAAUAGGGUGAAGCCAGAGGAAACUCUGGUGGAGGCUCGUAGCGAUUCUGACGUGCAAAUCGAUCGUCAAAUUUGGGUAUAGGGGCGAAAGACUAAUCGAACCAUCUAGUAGCUGGUUCCUGC